CUCAUAGCGUAUAUUUAAGUUGUUGCAGUUAAAAAGCUCGUAGUUGGAUUUCGGGUGUGGGGCGCCGGUCCGCUUCGGUGUGCACUGGCGGCCCAGGCCUUCUUGUCGGGGACGCGCUCUGGCUUUCACUAGUCGGACGCGGAGUCGGCGCAGUUACUUUGAAAAAAUUAGAGUGUUCAAAGCAGGCUUUCGCUUGAAUACAUUAGCAUGGAAUAACAUGAUAGGACUCCGAUCCCAUUGUGUUGGUCUUCGGGACUGGAGUAAUGAUUAAGAGGGACAGUUGGGGGCAUUCGUAUUUCAUUGUCAGAGGUGAAAUUCUUGGAUUUAUGAAAGACGAACUUCUGCGAAAGCAUUUGCCAAGGAUGUUUUCAUUAAUCAAGAACGAAAGUUGGGGGCUCGAAGAUGAUUAGAUACCAUCGUAGUCUCAACCAUAAACGAUGCCGACUAGGGAUUGGCGGAUGUUACUUGAUGACUUCGCCAGCACCUUGUGAGAAAUCAAAGUCUUUGGGUUCCGGGGGGAGUAUGGUCGCAAGGCUGAAACUUAAAGGAAUUGACGGAAGGGCACCACCAUGGCGUGGAGCCUGCGGCUUAAUUUGACUCAACACGGGGAAACUUACCAGGUCCAGACACAGUGAUGAUUGACAGAUUGAGAGCUCUUUCUUGAUUCUGUGGGUGGUGGUGCAUGGCCGUUCUUAGUUGGUGGAUUGAUUUGUCUGGU
rnacentral:rRNA from 1 species